rnacentral:hammerhead_ribozyme from 1 species
CUUUUGCUGAUGAGUCCUAAAUAGGACGAAAUGCGCGUUGUCCUGGAU